rnacentral:rRNA from 1 species
UACGUAGGGUGCAAGCAUUAAUCGGAAUUAUUGGGCGUAUAGGGCGCGUAGGCGGAGAUACAAGUCGAAUGUGAAAUCCCAAAGCUCAACUUUGGAACAGCAUUUGAAACUGUAUUUCUUGAGGGUGGGCGGAGAAAACGGAAUUCCACAAGUAGCGGUGAAAUGCGUAGAUAUGUGGAAGAACACCAGUGGCGAAGGCGGUUUUCUAGCUUACUCCUGACGCUGAGGCGCGAAAGCAAGGGGAUCAAACAGG